rnacentral:misc_RNA from 1 species
CGAGGCGGGCUCUGGCGUUUUAAACCUCUUGUGUUGUGCGCUGUGCUAGGGUUUAAGCUAUCAGCUUCAGAACUAAUACGAAUAGGAGUAAGAACAAAUAAAUAUGGCGAGGAGGCCGACAUUGGCCGGGAUGGAAGUUCCGAUCAUCGGCAGCGAUUCCGUCAAAUGGGUCGAGCUCUCUGUCGCCGUCGAUGGUGAUUCUUCUACCACGUACCCCACUCCAUCAUUGCCUUUGGCCCCUCUCACUGAUGAUUGCGCCUCCUGCUCCGUAAUUGGAGAUCCCCCUCUUUAUGUUAUUUGGAGGAUUCACAAGAACCUGCCUCGAGCUAUUGAAUUACUUGAGCUCUCUGCUAAUAAAGAAUUUCCCAGAAUUGGGCUCCGUAUCGCCUUCCCAGAUGCCCUUUGCCCUUUUGCUUAUAUCUGCAAGAACGAGAUAGGUUCGCCUGCAAACCCCUAUUUGCUCUACACAUUGACCAUCUCAGGAGUUGCUUAUGUUUUCAAGCUAAGGAAUGUUUCUGGUUACACUUCCUGCACUGCUUUUCCGCGAAAUGAGGUUAUAGUGUUUAAUUUACAGAGUUAUUUAAAUAAUUCAACAAUAACUAGUGUAGCAGCGACACCUGGAUGCCUUGUUGUCGGAAAAAAUGAUGGGUCUGUUGCUUGUUUCCAACUUGGCUCGCUUGACCAAACUGCUCCCGGUAUGUUGCUACUUGUAUGACUGUUAGCAUGUUUUCUUCUGCUGUCUCAUGGUCCCUGUUUUCUUUUUCUUCUUCCUCUUUAAUUUAAAUGCAAUUGCACACUUAUCCAAGAUGUUCAUUGACUCUGUGGCUUAGGAAGCUGUAUUGGGUUUGGGCUCUCAGCUCCAUAAGACAAGUUCAUAUAACGAUAAUAACAUCAGUGAAUUUCUUUUCAUUUGGGCAAUUAGUUUGCUGCUGCCUUGUCUACUGGUUUUCCUGGUUUAGGGGUGGUAAAUGGAGAGAGAUUAUUUAGUCAAACCAUCUUAAGUAAUGGAUGAAAAGAAAUGCUAGCAUUUAUGAGAAUCAGGCUUUGUCUUGUGGGAUAAGAUGGUUUUCUUCACUUGUUUCGGGGCUUAUAACAUGGGGGCUUUUCGAGAAAUGUCAUUUGAGUGUUAUUCAGCUUGAUUGGAGGGCACCACUUGUUUAGUUGCUGUUUGUACUGUUCUUUUUCUAUUGUUUUUGUUUUUAUUUUUUAUUUUCUUUUGUUUUUGGAAGAUAUCUUAUCGUACAUGUUAUAUUCCCCCUUCACUGGCCAAUAAAUUUUCUUUUCAUAUGGAAAAGCAUAUUUCAGUUGCUGUAUUUUAGCUCUUUGACAAUGUAAUAUGGGACUCUACCAUGUUUUGCUUCUGCCUUUUACCAGGAAAUUCUUUUGGUUAGAUUUGCUUCUCUUGUGGAUAAUGCUUUUUCCUUUUUUUUGGCUCUUAGGUUUUGUGUACGAGCUGCGGAAUGAUUUGGGCAUCAGUCGUUUGUGGGGAUUCGUGUCAAGGGGUCAGAUGUUAGGCUCUGUGCAGGAUUUGGUAAUACAGCAAUUGCAUGGGCUAAAGCUAUUGUUUGGACUUCAUUCUGAUGGGACUUUGCAAGUAUGGGAUUUGUCAUAUCGUGGCAAGAUCUUAAGUCACACCAUGAGCAUUCCAAAUUCAGAAGGUGCAACAUUGCGAAGGUUAUGGGUGGGUGAAGCUACUAAGGAUUCAAGCUUAAUUCCUUUGGCUGUGUUGUACAGACGUACUGUGGAUGUUAGCAUGGAGAUGAUCUACGUUUGUAAGAUUCGCUGUAGUUUGGGGGACAAAAUCAGUUUGUCAGUAGAGUCUACAAUUCAAAAUAUUCUGUUGGAGGAGGGGGAAUGCAUUGAUGUCAAACUUACUUCAGAGAAAAUAUGGAUAUUGAGGGAUAGUGGAUUAUCGGUUCAUAAUUUGUUGCAUACAAAUAACAAUGUGGAAGAAAUGCACUGCUAUGCUUUGCAGGAAGAAUUUGUUGCUGAACAACUCUUUCAAAGUCCUGAACUUUCUUCAGAUGAUCUUCUUUGGAUUAUCCAUUCAAUAUUCUCAUAUACGAAGGAUCAUGUGGUGCCAUUUAUCUCUUCUAUAUUUUCACAUAGGCUGCUUCACCAUGGGGUUCAUCACAGUACUAUUUUGCGUGCAACAUUCAUGGAUUACAAUAAGCACUGGACUGACACUGAAUUCCAGUCCUUGACUGUUGGUGGAUUGAAGAAAGAAAUUCAUUCCCUAAUUUACCAUGAGGGUGUAAGUGAAAGUCCAAUGUCAAUAUUUUGUUCCUGGAAGCAUUUCUGCACACGCUAUUUCCAUAAUUGGUGCAAGCACAAUUCACCGUGUGGCUUUUUAGUUCAAUCCUCUGCAAAUGUUAUUGGUUUGGUCAGAAAGAGUUCAGUAACUUUAUUUCGUGAUAUGGAAAAAAUUGAGUUGCUUAUUGAUGGUUCUUCUGAUGAGCUUCUUGAUCCAAUCAGCUUUGGAUUGGAUUUAUGCAAUGAUGAUUCUGAACGUGAGAUUCUUAUGGAAGUGCUCAGAUGCAUUAUUAGUGUCAACCAACAAUUGGGAAAAACCGCUUCUGCUAUAUUUUAUGAAUCACUUGUUGGCACAUCAAUUAUCUCAUCUGAAGAAAUUAUUCCUCGCUUACUGAAGAUUCUAGAAACCGGAUGCAGUUCAUUGGUGUCAUCAUUUCAUGUAUCAGAUCUUGGAGGUGAUUUUGCUUUGGAGAAGGAACUGGCAGAUCACAGAAAUCUAAGGAAAUUCUCUAUUAAUUUGUUAUUUUCUCUUCAUGCCUUGUCCAAAAAAGCUGAUUCAUGGGGCAAAAUUUUGGAUGUCAUUGAAAGCUAUCUACAAUUUCUUAUACCCCGGAAGGUCAUGCAAAAAUUAGAUGCUGGAAUGUCAUUUAAUAUCAAUGCUUCAAUUUUGGUCCAAGCUGCUUCCCCAAUUGCAAAGUCGAUGUUUGAUUCUGCAUUUGACAUUCUUCUAUUUGUGAGCUAUCUUCUCAAUAUCAGUGGACAGAUAAAUAUGUCAUCUGAUGAUAUAUCCAGAAUACAACUGGAAUUGAUUCCAAUGAUUCAGGACAUUGUUUUUGGGUGGCUGAUAAUUCAUUUCCUUUGCACCACACCAUCUGAAUCUCCAGCAAUUGAAGAUUUCAGUUCCCAACUCUCACUGUUGCAAAUUGAUGGCAGCACUGAUAAAAGAUCAUGGAAUGAGAGACUGGGCAAAUGUGAUUUUCCAUUGGCUUUUAUACUUUUGCUAAAUAUUCAAAUCUCAUUUGGCGACCCAGAUCAACGUUCUCCACAAUAUCUCCCAAAUCCACAAGACAUUAUUGGUUCAGUGCGAGACUUUACAAGCUGGAUUAUUUGGGGCAAAUCUGGAGAAGAAUCUAAUUUAUUCUUAAAACGUUCAACUGAAAUUGCAUUGAUCCUCCUUAGACAUAGCCAGUAUGAUGCUGUUGAGUACCUUCUAACUAUCGUGGAGGCCAAUUCACAAAGGGAGAAAAUAUUUAGAAGUAUUCAAGAUACUGGCAGUGAUUGGUGUGUACUUCAACAUCUUUUGGGAUGUUGCCUCCUUGCUCAGGCGCGUUAUGGCUUCCAUGGAAUGUUGAAAGAGAGGAAAGUUUGUAAAGCUAUUCGCUGUUUUUUCAGAGCUUCAUCUGGGCAAGGAGCUUCUCAAGCUUUGCAGGAUUUGUCUUAUGAUGCAGGAUUGCCGUAUCUUGGUUUUGGUGAAUUUUUUGGAUGUAAAAUCUUAAUUUUUCUCAGAAUAUAUAGCUAAAUGAUGGUUUUACUUAUUCACCUUUUCUAUAUAAUUUUUGUUACAGAUGGUUGUGUAGCAUCGGCUGCAUGGAAGCUUCAUUACUAUCAAUGGGCAAUGCAGAUAUUUGAGCAAUAUGGCAUUAGUGAAGGUGCUUACCAAUUUGCACUAGCUGCACUUGAGCAAGUAGAUGAAGCUCUUAGUCAGAAAGAUGAUUCUGGUGGGAGAGAUGUGCUCAAUGAAUCAGCCACUACCAUCAAAGGACGACUUUGGGCGAAUGUCUUCAAGUUUACCUUAGAUCUUAAUCAUUUAUCCGAUGCAUAUUGUGCCAUACUUUCUAAUCCAGAUGAGGAGAGCAAGUAUAUCUGCUUGAGGCGUUUCAUAAUAGUUCUCUAUGAGCGUGGAGGGAUGAAGAUACUUUGUGGUGGUCAAAUUCCCUUCAUAGGAUUAGCAGAGAAGAUUGAGCAAGAGCUUGCCUGGAAGGCAGAGCGUUCAGAUAUCUUGACAAAGCCAAACCCAUAUAAGUUGCUCUAUGCAUUUGAAAUGCAUCAGCAUAAUUGGCGAAGGGCAGCAAGUUACAUAUACCAAUAUUCAACUCGCUUGAGAACAGAAUUAGUUUUGAAAGAUCACCAGCAUGUAUCACUGGUGCUGCAAGAGAGGCUGAAUGCGCUUUCUGCUGCUAUCAACGCACUGCAUCUUGUUCGUCCUGCAUGUGCUUGGAUUGAUCCCCUGCUUGAGGGAAAUUCUCUUCAGAAUGAGUGUUAUCCUAGUAAAAGGGCCAAAAAAACAGUCAAGGAACAGCUAGUGGGCGAUGAUGUUCGGCCUCAAAGGCUGCAGUUUUACAUUGAUGUUGAGAAAAUUGAAAAUGAAAUUGUGCUAACUUCAGCGGAAUGUUUGCUGUCAUUAGCAAAUGUCAAAUGGGCAUCCACUGGAAAAGACAAUGCUCCGUCAGAUUUGGUUGAUCUUUUGGUCCAAAAUAACUUAUAUGAUAUGGCAUUUACAGUUCUUUUAAAAUUUUGGAAGGGCUCCGGGUUGAAGAGGGAAUUGGAAAAAGUUUUCUCAGCUAUGUCAUUGAAAUGCUGUUCAAAUAAAAUAGGCUCCUCAUCGGCAGGAAAUGAUUUGAGGAUGCGUGGUCUUUUGUUGACAUCCUCAACGGAAGAUAUGGUUGUUCAUGGUUCGCCUGAUACAGGCCCUAUGCCACAGCAGUCUAGAGGGAAUACCCAAUGGGAAACUCUUGAGCUUUAUCUUGAAAAAUAUAAAGCUUUUCAUACUGGAUUGCCAGCAACUGUUGCUGAAACACUUCUUCGUACAGAUCCUCAGACUGAAUUACCUUUAUGGCUAGUACAUAUGUUCAAGGACUUUCGAAGGGAUAGAACAUGGGGAAUGACUGGCCAAGUAUCGAAUCCUGCAUCUUUGUUCAGACUAUAUGUAGAUUAUGGUCGAUUUACGGAAGCUACAAAUUUGCUGCUCGAGUAUUUGGAAUCGUUUGCGUCAGUGAGACCAUCGGAGCUGAUACUUCGGAAAAGGCCAUUUGCAGCAUGGUUCCCAUACUCGACAAUAGAGCGUCUUUGGUGCCAACUUGAUGAAUUGAUCAAUUUGGGCCACAUGGUGGAUCAAUGUGAUAAGCUUAAAAAACUAUUGCAUGGAGCUUUGCUAAACCAUCUGAAGCUUCUAAAGGUGGACUCGGAUGAUGCAUUAUCUUCUGCUGCCUGUUGAAAAAAUGUUGUGGCAACCUUCAAAAUCAACAAUGAAGAUGGUGAAACUAAGGAUUAAUCUGGAUAGUUAACAGCUGAUGAUUCACUUUUGUUAAGUUUAUAGCUUAGCAUCGGUUUGCUUUCGUUACAUGGCAAUUUUAACAGGAGUAAAGCUGCAAUUCCGAAGUUAAAUAUCCAUACAUAUACAUAUAGCUGAGCGCCUAUCAUUGAAAAAAGAGUAAAAAUGGAGGGACACUCACUGAUCAAAGGAAAGAAGAAAUAUUUUUGCCUAUGUUCUGUAAUGUUGUGGCAAACGUCUGCCAAUUGUGCGGGCCUGAAAUUGACAAGCAGAAACAUUUUUGCUUGCUAGUGGCUCGAGUAUAAUAGAGGGAGAGUUGGUAGGGAUAAGUGUACAGAGUAUAGACCAUUCAAGCAGUGUACCUGAUGUCUCAAAGUGUUGAACCCUAGGUUAUCUCUUAUCCCCUCCACUUGUACGUUACAUUGUGAAAUCUAUGUUUUUGUAUGCUUUACUGAAUAUAUGUAGUUAUUAAUUUGAAUUAUUUGGGUUUAAUAUAACUGGAUCUUGAUUCCAAUUUACUGG